GAUGAAGAACGCAGCGAAAUGCGAUAAGUAGUGUGAAUUGCAGAAUUCAGUGAAUCAUCGAAUCUUUGAACGCACAUUGCGCCCCUUGGUAUUCCAUGGGGCAUGCCUGUUCGAGCGUCAUCUACACCCUCAAGCUCUGCUUGGUGUUGGGCGUCUGUCCCGCCCCCGCGCGUGGACUCGCCCCAAAUCCAUUGGCAGCGUUCCUUGCCCCCUCUCGCGCAGCACAUUGCGCUUCUCGAGGGCGGCACCGGGACGCGAUCCAGCAAGAUGACCACCGUCUUUGACCUCGGAUCAGGUAGGGAUACCCGCUGAACUUAAGCAUAUCAAUAAGCGGAGGA
rnacentral:misc_RNA from 1 species